GGCCAGCUUCAGGUCUUCCUAGCGCCUGGUUCCUCUGAGGUGUCGUGAGUCGCGUCAUCCUGCUGACGUUGAGAUGUGAAUGUUUCAACCAGGUUCCGGGUGCAUUUUAUAGGGCUGGUCCUUGUGAACAGCACGUGCAGCAUGAGUUGCAUGA